CCUUUGUACACACCGCCCGUCGCUACUACCGAUUGAAUGGCUCAGUGAGGCGUCCGGACUGGCCCAGGGAGGUGGGCAACUACCACCCAGGGCCGGGAAGUUCUCCAAACUCGGUCAUUUAGAGG
rnacentral:rRNA from 1 species